rnacentral:misc_RNA from 1 species
AAGUCGUAACAAGGUUUCCGUAGGUGAACCUGCGGAAGGAUCAUUACAAAUCCAUCCACGUCUCAUUCUUGAGACCACGUCGAAAUGUUCCCUAGUGUGUGUGUUGUGUAUGUGCGUGUGUCGUCCCGACUUUCUUCACAGCCUUCACCGGUAGCGUGUCUGUCUUGGCGCGCGCGCACACACACACACCUACACUAGGCUUGUAAACUAGUAUCAUCUGUUGCUCAAUUGUAUCUUUCUUGAUUGUAAUGAUCAGGGUAAACAAAGUACAACUUAUAACAAUGGAUCUCUAGGCUCUU